CAACCUCAUGCUUCCUAGUUGGAUUCACCUCCACUGCGCCGCAAUGGGAACUCCAGGUUAUUACACAGUAUUGAGUAGAUUUCCCAGUGCUGUAAGGUAGGUCCUUGUUACUUAUUUUAUAUAUAGCAGUGUGUACAUGUCAAUCCCAACCUCCUAAUUUAGUCCUCCCUGGUGGCUCAGCAGGAGUUGUCACUGGUAUGGCUCAGGUCACUGCUGUGACAUGGGUUCCAUCACCGGCCAGGGAAUUUCUGCAAGCUGUGGGUGCAGCCCCUCCCCCCCAAAAUACAUAUAUGUUUUUUAAUUGACUAAAUAGCAAACAAUUCCAAAAGAAUCCAGCCAUUAGUUUGUAAGAAUUUAAUAAUUUUUGGUAUACACAUCUGCAAUCUAUCCAAGCAAUUACACAGAGGAAAAAUAUAUAUAAAAAAGUAAGAAUAUGCAUAUUCUUUGGGGAAAGAUAGUCUUUUACUUGAGUGGCAUGCCUUCCCAGUAUACUUGCAAGUUUGUCUCGCCCUUCAAUCUCUAAACUCAUGGGAAACUUCCAAGCAGCAAAGAAAUCAAACCACAUUAUAAGAUAUUCUUCUAGAUAUAACUUCUAGUGCAUUCGAGGGAUUAAUGUUUUUGGUUGUGACUUAGGGAAUUUUGUCACUAUGAGAUAAUGUUGAAAGAGGGAGAAAUUGUUAAAUAUUUCAGCAAAACUAAGACAAUUUUAUUUUUCAAUAAAGAUUGCCAUCUAGGAGUUCCCAUUGUGGCUCAGAAGAAAGGAAUAUGACAAACAGCCUUGAGGAUGCAGGUUUGAUCCCUGGCCUCACCCAGUGACUUAAGGAUUUGGCAUUGCUGUGAGCUGUAGUGUAUGUUGUAGAUGCUGCUUGGGUCCUUUGCUUCUGUGGCUGUGGUGUAGGCCUGCAGCUACAGCUCCGCUUCCACCCCUAGCCUCCAUAUGCUGUGAGUGUGGCCCUAAAAGACAAAAGACAAAAAAAAAAAAAAAAAAAAAAAAAGGAUUGCCAUCUCUGUCACGUUUUAUAAAUAAAAUGUAUUCACAGAGGAAAAUUGACCAUUUUUUAAAUAAUCAAUUUAUCUUACAUGGCUAAAAAAAUCAAAGGAAUCAAGAUCUAGAAAGAGAAACCUAUCUUUUCUCUUGAUUCGUUGAAAAUAUUUUUUUUUUUUCCAUUCAAACACAACCUUAGGGAAAGAACAGCAACUCAAUAAAGCGUUUUCUUGGCAGUAAUUCAUUUAUGAGGCUCUCAGAAACACAUCAGUUUUAUUUAAGCUUUAAAUAUGGCUCUGUUUUUUAAAAUUUGUUUUUCUUUCUUCUUUAUUUAUUUUGCAAGGAUAAUUAAUAUAUCAUAUGCUAAUGGCAGAAAACACCCAAAGUUUAGGUUGGAUUUAACAUAAGUUAUGUUUAUUUUGGCCCACUUUUAUGAAGCUCUAAUUAUUAUAGUAACUCUACCAUCUAUCAAAUAAAUUGUUUCACCUCUUAUUAUAUAUUUAUUUUACUAUGUAAUGGAAUAAUAUAUGUCCAUCACAAGUAUAACAAAGUUACUCUUGUUUUCUUCGCUUGUUUUUUAAGCCCGCACCCGCAGCAUAUGGAGGUUCCCAGGCUAGGGGUGGAAGUGGAGCUGCAGCUGCUGGCGUACACCACAGCCUGAGCAACUCAGAAUCCAAGCCUAGUCUGAGAUCUACACCACAGCUCACUGCAACACCAGAUCCUCAACCCACUGAGCAAGGGCAGGGAUAGAAACCAUAUCCUCAUACUACUCGGAUUCCUUUCCACUGUGUCACGAUGGGAACGCCUCCUUGGCUUGUUUUUAAUAACAACACAUUUACCAGAUUCCCUUUGAUGCAUUAACCAUGAUCUAUUCUUACUUUAAUGGAGCAGUUACUUUGGGUUUUCAGGAGCCCCAGUGAGACAAUGCACAGAUUUGGGCCAAUAGUUCAUGUUCUUUCUAUAGUCUUGUACUCUCAGAUUUCUUUUCAGAAUUGAUAUCGCAAGACAAAAAUACGUUAUUUCUUGUUUACAUUGUACAACCUCAUAUAACAAUUGAAUAUGAUAUCCAGAAACAGAUUAUAUGAUUUCUGGGCAGUUUCUGGAUAGUAUGGCCUAAUUUUAUCACGCAUUUUUUAAAAAUUGGCCUUUUCAAUCAAACAUACUUAUAACUCAGGUCAGGAAUGUUACAAUCCAAAUGCUUUGAUACUUUGGCUAUUAUAUUAAGAUCUUCUAUCAUAGAUAAGAGGAAAACAUAAAGAACUGAUAUAAUUAAGAAUAGAAUUUUUUUGUUAGAUUAGCCCACAUUCCUCUAAUUGCUAUUAUCCUUUUGUCUAACAAUACCAAAAAGAGAAAACUCAAUCAAAAGGAACAUUCUUUGGAGGACGAUCUAUCAUAAAAUCUAUUUUUCUGUUUCUACAGUAAAGAAAAAAAACAGUCAUAGAAGAUGAGAUAUUCAAGUCUACUUACUGGAACGCAGUAAUAGAAUAAGCAUGGAAACCAGAUUUAAAAAGCUUUUAAAACUAUACUCAUUUUUCUUCAUUAUUUUUUAAUGUAAUACUAAGGAAUAUAUUUCACAAUGGUGAAUUAUUGAAACUAAGGAAGUUAAAUUUCACUUCUCGAUAACGGGUAGAUGUAUUCUCUUUUCAGCAAAAUGAGUUAGCCUCAUUUAAAAUUUGCAAUUUCUCCAGCUACCACACCGACUUUGAAGGAUAGGUGGGUGGCUUAAUGAUUUCCACUCUUCCUUUUUCCUCCUACAUGUGUGUCUUCUGUCUUUCUUUUUGUUUUUCUUCGGUUUUUGUCUCUACGGCACAUUCAUUUUUAUUAAAUGGUGCUAUGUAAAAAUACAUACAUAAAAAUGUUACUCUAAAAUGUAAUACUGAUUUUGAAGCAAGUAAACAGAAGGAUUUUCAAAGAAAUGUAAAUAUAAAGGACUAGGAUAUUAAGUAUUUACGGAAGUAGAAAUCUAGCAAUGCAUACUCUUGAAAAUAAACUAGUUGCUCCAUUCACACUUUUAAGUUUAUACAAAAGAAGAAGGAAAUACAUGCCAAAGGCCUUGUUAGUUAAUUCCCCCAGGACCCCACUCCAGGACUAGCUGGCAGGAGCUAGUGAACAUUAUUAAGAUGGAUAUUAAUAAGUCCACAAAUAACAAGAGCUGGAGGGGGUGUGGAGAAAAGGGAACCCUCCUGCACAGUUGGUAGGAAUGUAAGCUGGCACAGUAUGGAAAACAGUAUGGGGGUACCUUAGAAAUCUAUACAUAGAACUCCCAUAUGACCCAGCAAUCCCACUCUUGGCAUAUAUCCAGGCAAAUAUUUCCUUAAAAAAGACACAUGCAGCUGCAGGUUCAUUGCAGCACUAUUCACAAUAGCCAAGACAUGGAAACAACCCAAAUGUCCAUCGACAGACAAUUGGAUUACGAAGAUGUGGUAUAUAUACACUAUAGAAUACUACUCAGCCAUAAAGAAGAACGACAUAAUGCCAUUUGCAGCAACAUGGAUGGAACUAGAGACUACUCUCAUACUGAGUGAAAUAAGUCAGAAAGAGAAGGAAAAAUACCAUAUGAUAUCACUUAUAUCUGGAAUCUAAUAUAAGGCACAAAUGAAGCUUUCCACAGAAAAGAAAAUCAUGGACUUGGAGAAUAGACUUGUAGCUGCCUGAGGGGAGAGGGAGAGAGUGGGAGAGAUCAGGAGCUUGGGGUUAAUGGAUGCAAACUAUUGCUCUUGGAAUGGAUUUACGAGAUCCUGCUGUGUAGCAUUGAGAACUAUGUCUAGAUACUUACAUCGCAACACAACAAUGGGAGGAAAAGGUAUAUAUACAUGUAUGAGUAACUUGGUCCCCAUGCUGUACAGCGAAAAAAAUACAAAAAAAAAAAGAUGGAUAUUAGCAUUAUCCUUCUUGUUAAUGAAUAAAAUAAAUCAAUUGGCAUUUUGUUUUGACUGUAAGCAUCAUCUUUACAAUUUUUUUUACUUUGAGUCCUUACAAAAAUAGAAAGUUCAAUUCCUAUUUUUAUUUAUCUUUAACAUGACUUUUUUCCUGGACAUAACCUGACACAUCAAAAAGAGUCCUAGAAACUAACUCUUAGAAGAAACUAAUAAUAUAAAAACCAUCAUAUCUUCCUGAAGUCUAAAUCUUAAAUGUUUAAGUGACUUAUAAACAGGAUUUUCAAAUAAACCUGAUUAGUUAAAUAUGCAUUUAUAGAUUCUAUUUUGAAUGUCUUCAAAUUUCUGUCUGGUGAGUAAGGCUGGCAGUCACAUGUAUGUCUCCCACAUAUGCUCAUAACUGUGGACUCUUACAAGGCUGUCACAAGAACAGUAAAGAAGUGACCUUGGGGAUAUGAAAGUCAGGACACUUCAAAAAUCUUUCCAAAGAAUUGGCCUUAGACCACUUGACUUAGUGUAUAUAGGGAGGCGCACCACAAGUGCUUUGAUAAAAUAACUCCACUGAGGUAUCUAUACAUCUACAGAGGAACAUUUUUUUGUUUGUGUGGCAAAUCAGUCCUUGAGAGCAAACCACGAAUCCUGACUCAAGUGACUUUUUUUUUAAACUAUGAAUCUCAGAAGCCUCCAAGUGAUGUAGAAGACUUUGUAAAGUCUUUGUAAAACAGAAACAAAGGCAACUUUAUCACUCACUAUAAAUAGCCUUGCCAAGUUGUUUUUGUUUAUUUAGUUUAGUUUUUAGUAUCAUUUUUUCAAUUUCCCUAUAUAAAAAAUAAGAGAUGACAGUUAUGAAGGUUGUUGCCAGCUAGAAAAUACAAAAUUCUAUGAUUUUUGUAGAAUACAGAGUAGCAGAUUUUACCUUUGUAUAUGCAUGUUUAUCAUAUAUUUAGUGUAAACUCAUCCUUGUUCAAAGUGUAAUACCAAUUUUUUUAAGAAAUCUCUUCAUUAUUUAAGCAUAUGUUUAUGGACUGUAUUAGAAACUAUGUGAUAAGAUGAUGGAGGAAAGGUAGCCUUAGUGAAAUCCUAUCCUAGUCAUUUUAGUAAGAAAGGGGAGAAACUCCUUUCAUUUAGUUUUCUGUGAAGUAUGAUUACCAGGCAGUAUAUUUUUCUUUAAAUAGAC
rnacentral:lncRNA from 1 species